rnacentral:rRNA from 1 species
GAUGAACGCUGGCGGCGUGCCUAAUACAUGCAAGUCGAGCGAACGGACGAGAAGCUUGCUUCUCUGAUGUUAGCGGCGGACGGGUGAGUAACACGUGGAUAACCUACCCAUAAGACUGGGAUAACUUCGGGAAACCGGGGCUAAUACCGGAUAAUAUUUUGAACCGCAUGGUUCAAAAGUGAAAGACGGUCUUGCUGUCACUUAUGGAUGGAUCCGCGCUGCAUUAGCUAGUUGGUAAGGUAACGGCUUACCAAGGCAACGAUGCAUAGCCGACCUGAGAGGGUGAUCGGCCACACUGGAACUGAGACACGGUCCAGACUCCUACGGGAGGCAGCAGUAGGGAAUCUUCCGCAAUGGGCGAAAGCCUGACGGAGCAACGCCGCGUGAGUGAUGAAGGUCUUCGGAUCGUAAAACUCUGUUAUUAGGGAAGAACAUAUGUGUAAGUAACUGUGCACAUCUUGACGGUACCUAAUCAGAAAGCCACGGCUAACUACGUGCCAGCAGCCGCGGUAAUACGUAGGUGGCAAGCGUUAUCCGGAAUUAUUGGGCGUAAAGCGCGCGUAGGCGGUUUUUUAAGUCUGAUGUGAAAGCCCACGGCUCAACUCGUGGAGGGUCAUUGGAAACUGGAAAACUUGAGUGCAGAAGAGGAAAGUGGAAUUCCAUGUGUAGCGGUGAAAUGCGCAGAGAUAUGGAGGAACACCAGUGGCGAAGGCGACUUUCUGGUCUGUAACUGACGCUGAUGUGCGAAAGCGUGGGGAUCAAACAGGAUUAGAUACCCUGGUAGUCCACGCCGUAAACGAUGAGUGCUAAGUGUUAGGGGGUUUCCGCCCCUUAGUGCUGCAGCUAACGCAUUAAGCACUCCGCCUGGGGAGUACGACCGCAAGGUUGAAACUCAAAGGAAUUGACGGGGACCCGCACAAGCGGUGGAGCAUGUGGUUUAAUUCGAAGCAACGCGAAGAACCUUACCAAAUCUUGACAUCCUUUGACAACUCUAGAGAUAGAGCCUUCCCCUUCGGGGGACAAAGUGACAGGUGGUGCAUGGUUGUCGUCAGCUCGUGUCGUGAGAUGUUGGGUUAAGUCCCGCAACGAGCGCAACCCUUAAGCUUAGUUGCCAUCAUUAAGUUGGGCACUCUAAGUUGACUGCCGGUGACAAACCGGAGGAAGGUGGGGAUGACGUCAAAUCAUCAUGCCCCUUAUGAUUUGGGCUACACACGUGCUACAAUGGACAAUACAAAGGGCAGCGAAACCGCGAGGUCAAGCAAAUCCCAUAAAGUUGUUCUCAGUUCGGAUUGUAGUCUGCAACUCGACUACAUGAAGCUGGAAUCGCUAGUAAUCGUAGAUCAGCAUGCUACGGUGAAUACGUUCCCGGGUCU